UAAACGGCCCUUUUCAGGGCCAUAAGUUAUUAAGAGAAAUCAGUU
rfam:Aedes aegypti strain Liverpool supercont1.35 genomic scaffold, whole genome shotgun sequence.